GACGAACGCUGGCGGCGUGCUUAACACAUGCAAGUCGAACGGAAAGGCCCUGCUUUUGUGGGGUGCUCGAGUGGCGAACGGGUGAGUAACACGUGAGUAACCUGCCCUUGACUUUGGGAUAACUUCAGGAAACUGGGGCUAAUACCGGAUAGGAGCUCCUGCUGCAUGGUGGGGGUUGGAAAGUUUCGGCGGUUGGGGAUGGACUCGCGGCUUAUCAGCUUGUUGGUGGGGUAGUGGCUUACCAAGGCUUUGACGGGUAGCCGGCCUGAGAGGGUGACCGGCCACAUUGGGACUGCGAUACGGCCCAGACUCCUACGGGAGGCAGCGGUGGGGAAUAUUGCACAAUGAGCGGGAGCCUGAUGCAGCAACGCCGCGUGCGGGAUGACGGCCUUCGGGUUGUAAACCGCUUUCGCCUGUGACGACGCGUGAGUGACGGUAAUGGGUAAAGAAGCACCGGCUAACUACGUG
rnacentral:rRNA from 1 species